rnacentral:rRNA from 1 species
UACGUAGGGGGCUAGCGUUGUCCGGAAUCAUUGGGGCGUAAAGCGCGUGUAGGCGGUCCGAUAAGUCCGCUGUGAAAGUCGAGGGCUCAACCCUCGAAUGCCGGUGGAUACUGUCGGGCUUGAGUACGGGAGAGGCGAGUGGAAUUCCUGGUGUAGCGGUGAAAUGCGCAGAUAUCAGGAGGAACACCGAUGCGAAGGCAGCUCGCUGGAACGUUACUGACGCUGAGACG